UUACACUAUGAUUUUUAUUUUCAUGUAAAACUGAUGGAAUGGCAGGUAUAAAAGCUGAUUAUAAGACCAAACACCUAGCUCUUAAAACAAAAUUUUCUAAAUCCAUAUCUAACCGUAGAGAAACCUGAAGACCAAAUUUAAUUCCAUUAGGUCUUUUAAAUUUCUGCUGUUGAUCUUGUGCAGAGUCACCCAGCUUUAACUUGUUUGACGUGUGCUGUGUCUCAGUCAGGUUUUUCACUGUACUAUGCUUGCAGGGCUUGGACUCAGCCUACAUUCCAUGUAUCUCAGCAUUGCUCUGCUAACGUCAGCAGAACAUCUUCAGAUGAUACUGACUGAGAGUCUAGCCCAGGUUGAAAUUCUUGAGUAAACAUUUUUCAAGAAACACAGCAGAUGAUGUACGUGAAUAACAUUUAGAAUAAUAUAUACAUUGCAUGCAUACAUAUCUAUGUAUGUAAAACAGCCUUUCAAAACUGUUUAUUCUGUGUGGUGCCACAUGUGUAAUUGUCUGCAGUUCUUAGUUGUGUUUUGGGAUCGAAGAGCUUAAAGCUUAACUCACAAGACUGCUAAUUACUUAGGGCAUCCUACUUCUGUCAAAUAUAUUUGUAUAACAUAGUAACCUUUAGUUAAUACUUAAUUUCUUAAUUCAACUGAAAUUUAAUAUGAUACUAAUUUCUUUUUUGCUAUCUAGCUAAUGAAAUAAUGAAGUUAAAUGUUAAAAUUAAUUGCACAGUAGUAUUUUGGUUAUACUGAAUCUCUUAUAGAUUUAGAGACAUUCAUAUUUUUUCUCUCAGUGAUAGCCUGUGUCAUUUUUGCCAUUAAAUAAGCUUCUUGAUAUUUUUUUGGGGAGCUAAAAAUUUGUGGUUGGUAGUUUGAGGCACAGCUUCACAGAGGACUUUACAUCUCUCAAUUUAAAGCACAUUGCAUUGCCCACCUCUAUCUUCUCAAGUGGAUUGCAAAAUGAUUUAAUCUUAGUAAUUGUAGAAAUGUUGGAUUGAUGAUUAUUAAGGAAAGAAUUUGCCUUGCAGUCAAGUCUGUUAAUAUUUUCUGACUUUUGCAUUUGUAUUGGCAUAAAAACAGUUUCUUACACAGAAGAAUUGACAGAUAGGGCUUAAAUCCCAAUUUAGGAAAUACUUGAAGAGUCAGAAGAGUUAGUCGAAACAGGCGAGAAAAACAGGAAACCAUUUUUUUUUGAAUCUGGGAGCAAGAAUCUUUAUGAUUUAAUGAUAAUUUGAUUAAUGUGAGUUGUGAUUCUGCUGUAACUGUAAUUUAUUCUUUCAAAGUUUGCUGUUUUAGAGAGUCUUUAGGACUUUUUAGGAAAACUAAAUAAAAGCUUAUUAAUACUUCAUCUAAGUUUUGAGCAUAAUUGGUAUCUAAUUUAGUAAAUUAUAGUGAUAUAAUGGUAAAUCAGAAAUGGGUAAACUCAAACAUUCUGUGAGAGGCAUGAGCACUCAGUUGACAGAAAUAGAAGUGGAUAUAUUCAGUUGCAUCUAUUCAUAACUGUAGAAUAAAUAAACAUAGCUCCCCCUGAAGCUUGGCUCCAUGCUAAAAAAUGACUCAGUAAAAUUGGCAACUUUGACUACUUUCUUUAAUGGCAAUAUUAUUUUACUCCAGUUAUGGUUGCUAACUGGUAUAUCCAUGAAAGAUAGAGCAGAAUCACUUCAUGAUGCUAUUUCAGACAUAAAAGUAAGAGCCAAAUUGUAUUGCUAAUGACUGGUAUAACCGUAGCCAGAACAAUAAGUGAGGGAGCAUGAUUCAUUUUGCAAGCACACUUGGUUAACAGUGUUGAUUUUGCACAUUCAUUCCUAUUGCACAGAGAUCUGAGUGAAACCAAAGCCAGAUUUAUUACAUCUGCUGAGGUCUAGGAGGAGAAUAUGGCACAGGAUGACUUAGUUAUUACAGAUUUCAAAAAAAGCUUCAGAUUUCAAGCUUGCUUCCUGUUUAGACACCUACACAACAGGAGCUGCUGGGGGCCAGGAUGUGUGAUGUCUGUCAUUUAUUUGGUUGUUUAAACCACAGCUCUGGUCUUCUGACUAUCUAGUGCAGCAUGGUGUUGGACAAACAGUCU